CCAAUAGCGUAUAUUAAAGUUGUUGCAGUUAAAAAGCUCGUAGUUGAAUUUCGGGGUCAGUAGGCUGGUCGUGCCACUGGUAUGCACUGGUCUCACUGAUUCCUCCUUCCUGAUGAACCGUAAUGCCAUUAAUUUGGUGUUGCGGGGAAUCUGGACUGUUACUUUGAAAAAAUUAGAGUGUUUAAAGCAGGCUAACGCUUGAAUACAUUAGCAUGGAAUAAUGAAAUAGGACGAUCGAUCCUAUUUUGUUGGUUUCUAGGAUUGACGUAAUGAUUAAUAGGGAUAGUUGGGGGCAUUAGUAUUCAAUUGUCAGAGGUGAAAUUCUUGGAUUUAUUGAAGACUAACUACUGCGAAAGCAUUUGCCAAGGAUGUUUUCAUUAAUCAAGAACGAAAGUUAGGGGAUCGAAGACGAUCAGAUACCGUCGUAGUCUUAACCAUAAACUAUGCCGACUAGGGAUCGGAUGAUGUUAAUUUUUUAAUGACUCAUUCGGCGCCUUACGG
rnacentral:rRNA from 1 species